rnacentral:ncRNA from 1 species
UAUCUGGUUGAUUCUGCCAGUAGUCAUAUGCUUGUCUCAAAGAUUAAGCCAUGCAUGUCUAAGUAUAAGCAAUUAUACAGCGAAACUGCGAAUGGCUCAUUAUAUAAGUUAUCGUUUAUUUGAUAGUACCUUACUACAUGGAUAACCGUGGUAAUUCUAGAGCUAAUACAUGCUAAAAAUCCCGACUUCGGAAGGGAUGUAUUUAUUAGAUUAAAAACCAAUGCCCUCUGGGCUCUUUGGUGAUUCAUGAUAACUUCUCGAAUCGCACGGCCUUGCGCCGGCGAUGGUUCAUUCAAAUUUCUUCCCUAUCAACUUUCGAUGUUUGGGUAUUGGCCAAACAUGGUUGCAACGGGUAACGGAGGGUUAGGGCUCGACCCCGGAGAAGGAGCCUGAGAAACGGCUACCACAUCCAAGGAAGGCAGCAGGCGCGCAAAUUACCCAAUCCCGACACGGGGAGGUAGUGACAAUAAAUACUGAUACAGGGCUCUUUUGGGUCUUGUAAUUGGAAUGAGUACAAUUUAAAUCCCUUAACGAGGAACAAUUGGAGGGCAAGUCUGGUGCCAGCAGCCGCGGUAAUUCCAGCUCCAAUAGCGUAUAUUAAAGUUGUUG